AUUGAACGCUGGCGGCAUGCUUUACACAUGCAAGUCGAACGGUAACAGGCCGCAAGGUGCUGACGAGUGGCGAACGGGUGAGUAAUGCAUCGGAACGUGCCCAGUCGUGGGGGAUAACGCAGCGAAAGCUGCGCUAAUACCGCAUACGAUCUAUGGAUGAAAGCGGGGGACCGUAAGGCCUCGCGCGAUUGGAGCGGCCGAUGUCAGAUUAGGUAGUUGGUGGGGUAAAGGCUCACCAAGCCAACGAUCUGUAGCUGGUCUGAGAGGAUGACCAGCCACACGGGGACUGAGACACGGCCCAGACUCCUAGGGGAGGCAGCAGUGGGGAAUUUUGGACAAUGGGCGCAAGCCUGAUCCAGCAAUGCCGCGUGCAGGAAGAAGGCCUUCGGGUUGUAAACUGCUUUUGUACGGAACGAAACGGUCCUGGUUAAUACCUGGGGCUAAUGACGGUACCGUAAGAAUAAGCACCGGCUAACUACGUGCCAGCCGCCGCAGUAACAC
rnacentral:rRNA from 1 species